rnacentral:rRNA from 1 species
AUACGGAGGGGGCUAGCGUUGUUCGGAAUUACUGGGGGUAAAGCGCGCGUAGGCGGCUUGCCAAGUUGGGCGUGAAAGCCCGGGGCUCAACCCCGGAAUUGCGCUCGAAACUGGUAGGCUAGAGACCGGGAGAGGAGAGUGGAAUUCCCAGUGUAGAGGUGAAAUUCGUAGAUAUUGGGAAGAACACCAGUGGCGAAGGCGGCUACCUGGACCGGUUCUGACGCUGAGGUGCGAAAGCGUGGGGAGCAAACAGGAUUAGAUACCCCGGUAGUCC